rnacentral:rRNA from 1 species
AGCGAACGCUGGCGGCAGGCCUAACACAUGCAAGUCGAACGGACCUUUCGGGGUUAGUGGCGGACGGGUGGGUAACACGUGGGAACGUGCCUUUAGGUUCGGAAUAGCUCCUGGAAACGGGUGGUAAUGCCGAAUGUGCCCUUAGGGGGAAAGAUUUAUCGCCUUUAGAGCGGCCCGCGUCUGAUUAGCUAGUUGGUGAUGUAAUGGCUCACCAAGGCUAUGAUCAGUAGCUGGUCUGAGAGGAUGACCAGCCACAUUGGGACUGAGACACGGCCCAAACUCCUACGGGAGGCAGCAGUGGGGAAUCUUGCGCAAUGGGCGAAAGCCUGACGCAGCCAUGCCGCGUGGAUGAUGAAGGUCUUAGGAUUGUAAAAUCCUUUCACCGGUGAAGAUAAUGACUGUAGCCGGAGAAGAAGCCCCGGCUAACUUCGUGCCAGCAGCCGCAGUAA